UACGUAGGGGGCAAGCGUUGUCCGGAUUUAUUGGGCGUAAAGAGCGUGUAGGCGGCUUUACAGGUCCGUUGUGAAAACUUGAGGCUCAACCUCGAGACGCCGGUGGAAACCGUAAAGCUAGAGUCCGGAAGAGGAGAGUGGAAUUCCUGGUGUAGCGGUGAAAUGCGCAGAUAUCAGGAGGAACACCCGUGGCGAAAGCGGCUCUCUGGGACGGUACUGACGCUGAGGCACGAAAGCGUGGGGAGCAAACAGG
rnacentral:rRNA from 1 species